rnacentral:rRNA from 1 species
UACGUAGGGUGCAAGCGUUGUCCGUAAUUAUUUGGCGUAAAGCGCGCGCAGGCGGUUUAUUAAGUUCGGUGUUUAAGCCCAGGGCUCAACCCUGGUACGCACUGGAAACUGGUAGACUGGAGUGUAGGAGAGGAAAGUGGAAUUCCACGUGUAGCGGUGAAAUGCGUAGAGAUGUGGAGGAACACCAGUGGCGAAGGCGACUUUCUGGCCUAUAAAUGAAGCUGAGGCGCGAAAGCGUGGGGAGCAAACAGG